GACGAACGCUGGCGGCGUGCUUAACACAUGCAAGUCGAACGUGAUUUUUGUGGAAAUUCUUUCGGGAAUGGAAAUGAAAUGAAAGUGGCGAACGGGUGAGUAACACGUGAGCAACCUACCUUACACAGGGGGAUAGCCGUUGGAAACGACGAUUAAUACCGCAUGAGACCACAGAAUCGCAUGAUAUAGGGGUCAAAGAUUUAUCGGUGUAAGAAGGGCUCGCGUCUGAUUAGCUAGUUGGAAGGGUAAAGGCCUACCAAGGCGACGAUCAGUAGCCGGUCUGAGAGGAUGAACGGCCACAUUGGAACUGAGACACGGUCCAAACUCCUACGGGAGGCAGCAGUGGGGAAUAUUGCACAAUGGGGGGAACCCUGAUGCAGCGACGCCGCGUGAGCGAAGAAGGUUUUCGAAUCGUAAAGCUCUGUCCUAUGAGAAGAUAAUGACGGUAUCAUAGGAGGGGGCCCCGGCUAAAUACGUGCCAGCAGCCGCGGUAAUACGUAUGGGGCGAGCGUUGUCCGGAAUUAUUGGGCGUAAAGGGUACGUAGGCGGUUUUUUAAGUCAGGUGUGAAAGCGUGAGGCUUAACCUCAUUAAGCACUUGAAACUGGAAGACUUGAGUGAAGGAGAGGAAAGUGGAAUUCCUAGUGUAGCGGUGAAAUGCGUAGAUAUUAGGAGGAAUACCGGUGGCGAAGGCGACUUUCUGGACUUUUACUGACGCUCAGGUACGAAAGCGUGGGGAGCAACAGG
rnacentral:rRNA from 1 species